rnacentral:rRNA from 1 species
GGGUCAGUAGGUUGGUCGUGCCACCGGUACGUACUGGUCUCGCUGAUUCCUCCUUCCUGAAGAACCGUAAUGCCAUUAAUUCGGUGUUGCGGGGAAACAGGACUGUUACUUUGAAAAAAUUAGAGUGUUUAAAGCAAGCUAACGCUUGAAUACAUUAGCAUGGAAUAAUGAAAUAGGACGAUCGAUCCUAUUUUGUUGGUUUCUAGGAUUGACGUA